UACGAAGGGGGCUAGCGUUGCUCGGAAUCACUGGGCGUAAAGCGCACGUAGGCGGCUUUUUAAGUCAGGGGUGAAAUCCUGGAGCUCAACUCCAGAACUGCCUUUGAUACUGAGAGGCUCGAGUCCGGGAGAGGUGAGUGGAACUGCGAGUGUAGAGGUGAAAUUCGUAGAUAUUCGGAAGAACACCAGUGGCGAAGGCGACUCACUGGACACAUAUUGACGCUGAGGUGCGAAAGCGUGGGGAGCAAACAGG
rnacentral:rRNA from 1 species